UGGGGAAUUUUGGACAAUGGGCGCAAGCCUGAUCCAGCCAUGCCGCGUGCGGGAAGAAGGCCUUCGGGUUGUAAACCGCUUUUGUCAGGGAAGAAAUCUUCUGAGUUAAUACCUCGGGAGGAUGACGGUACCUGAAGAAUAAGCACCGGCUAACUACGUGCCAGCAGCCGCGGUAAUACGUAGGGUGCAAGCGUUAAUCGGAAUUACUGGGCGUAAAGCGUGCGCAGGCGGUUUUGUAAGACAGAGGUGAAAUCCCCGGGCUCAACCUGGGGACUGCCUUUGUGACUGCAAGGCUUGAGUGCGGCAGAGGGGGGAUGGAAUUCCGCGUGUAGCAGUGAAAUGCGUAGAUAUGCGGAGGAACACCGAUGGCGAAGGCAAUCCCCUGGGCCUGCACUGACGCUCAUGCACGAAAGCGUGGGGAGCAAACAGGAUUAGAUACCCUGGUAGUCCACGCCCUAAACGAUGUCAACUGGUUGUUGGGAAGGUUCCCUUCUCAGUAACGUAGCUAACGCGUGAAGUUGACCGCCUGGGGAGUACGGCCGCAAGGUU
rnacentral:rRNA from 1 species